AUGUACAGCACGUGGCCUGAGACCCUGGUAAACUCUAAGACAAACAAACCUACACAGAAGACAGGAGGAAAGGACUUAACAGCAUCGACUGUACCUGUAUCUAGUGGAGGUAAACAUGCUGGCAGAAGUAAAUCUAGAACCAUUGUUGCUUUUGGAAGGAGCCACAGCCUCAGCAGCAGAGGUAGUGACUCGACUGAUAGUAAGGCUGGUGGCUCUUUGAAAAGAGACAGCAUCAGCCACCAAGGCUGCGUUGGCCACCAGGGUACUAGACAAGGGUCUCGCCCAGCUGGACCAGCUCUCCGCCUCUGCACCAGCCGGAGCUUUUCUUCCCUCCACACCUCCUCUCUCACUGCUGCUCCGUUCAUGAGAAGCAGCCGCUCUCUGAACAGACUUGACCAGAAUUCCACUGGAGACGAUCCAGGUGCAGUUCCAAGUUCACAAGAAAAAAAAGGACAAACUACAAAAAAGAAAGCUCUGAAUUCUGUCCAGCUGUCCUCGUCUAAGGAGCAGAUCAGGAAUAACAAAGACCAGUGUCAUGUUGAUAAUACUGAGAAAAUGAAAACCAGCAGCUCCUCUGAGCCAGAGUCUUCUUCCUCUUUGGUUUCUACCGCUGAAUGUCAUCGUGACUGCAACAAAGUAAAGAAACAGACAAGAGACGGAGUAUACACACUCUGUGCUAUGACCUCUGGGAUGAGGCGUAACUGGGUCCAAGCAGUGUUAAAGAAUGUGAGGCCCAGUCCUACACCUGACGUCACAAGCUUCCUCCCAGAGCAGACGACUCAACAGAAAUCACAGCAACCGGACUCACAAUCAGCUGAGGUUCUGGAGAAAGCUGAACACCAAGACAGCUUUUCUCAAGAGCACAGAACCAGUGAGGGUGCAGAGGAAACACAUCGACGGCAGGAAGAACAAGAACUCAAACUGCAGUCAGAGAGAGAGCAGAGUUCUGCUCUUUCUCCCAUCAAUCCUCCCCAGCAGGUGGAAGAGGACAAAGAAGGUGCUUUCUGUCAUCGAUGUACGCUUGGAGAGUCAUUUAAAAAAAACUGUGACAAAUUAAGAAAGAAAAUCACAUAUUUUUAAAAAAUAGCUUAAAUUUGCUCCAUCAUGCAACGUACAUAGUGGUAGUGAUACACAGUUAAUUUCUUUG
rnacentral:lncRNA from 15 species